CCUACGGGUGACUGCAGUAGGGAAUAUUGCUCAAUGGGGGAAACCCUGAAGCAGCAACGCCGCGUGGAGGAUGAAGGUUUUCGGAUUGUAAACUCCUUUUGUUAGAGAAGAUAAUGACGGUAUCUAACGAAUAAGCACCGGCUAACUCCGUGCCAGCAGCCGCGGUAAUACGGAGGGUGCAAGCGUUACUCGGAAUCACUGGGCGGAAAGAGCGAGUAGGCGAGAAAGCAAGUCAGAUGUGAAUUCCUAUGCCUUAACAAUAGAACUGCAUUUGAAACUGUUAUUUUAGAUAAUGGGAGAGGAAGGUGAACUCCUUGGGUAGAGGUGAAAAUCCGAAGAGAUAAAGAG
rnacentral:rRNA from 1 species